rnacentral:rRNA from 1 species
UACGUAGGGUGCGAGCGUUGUCCGGAAUUAUUGGGCGUAAAGAGCUCGUAGGCGGCUUGUCGCGUCGGAUGUGAAAGCCCGGGGCUUAACUCCGGGUCUGCAUUCGAUACGGGCAGGCUAGAGUUCGGUAGGGGAGAUCGGAAUUCCUGGUGUAGCGGUGAAAUGCGCAGAUAUCAGGAGGAACACCGGUGGCGAAGGCGGUUCUCUGGGCCUGUACUGACGCUGAGGAGCGAAAGCGUGGGGAGCAAACAGG